CAGCAUUCUUCCACGAGCUGUGGCUGCCUGCAGCUACGGGAUCUCCAUCUGCAUGGAGAGCAAUCGGGGGACACUUCCACAGCUCAAGUCAGCACAAAGCCUGCAGCUGCCAUUCGCCUUUCCUAUAACG
rnacentral:snoRNA from 13 species